rnacentral:rRNA from 1 species
UACGUAGGUGGCAGGCGUUGUCCGGAAUUAUUGGGCGUAAAGAGCUCGUAGGCGGUGUGUCACGUCGGCCGUGAAAACCUGCAGCUUAACUGUGGGCGUGCGGUCGAUACGGGCAUCACUGGAGUUCGGCAGGGGAGACUGGAAUUCCUGGUGUAGCGGUGAAAUGCGCAGAUAUCAGGAGGAACACCGGUGGCGAAGGCGGGUCUCUGGGCCGAUACUGACGCUGAGGAGCGAAAGCGUGGGGAGCAAACAGG